GGAGCAAUGAGAGGGGGUUACACUACAAAUGACAGUAACGUCGUCGUGCCUCACGGAAGUGAUCGCAGCAGUUCUUUUCGAAGUUGAACGUUCGGAAUAAACUGCAGUGGGAGAAGAAAAGCCGCCUCCGCCUGCAACCAGCGUUUCGCCAGGGUACUUUUUAGAGUGAAGCUGCCUGUGGCUAGGAUCCCGGAAUUUCUUCGUGACACAAACGGACAGAAAACUAUCAUCAUCAAUAGCUCAUAUCCCCAAGUGCCAUGGCUCACACUACCGUAAGGUAAAUGUUACAGGCACUCAGCAAAGUGAACACUGCAUACAUUGUUUGGAACGACGCAUACAACGUACAGAACCGCACACGCUUCAAUAAAGAACAAGCUCAAAACAA